rnacentral:rRNA from 1 species
AAAUUGAAGAGUUUGAUCAUGGCUCAGAUUGAACGCUGGCGGCAGGCCUAACACAUGCAAGUCGAACGGUAACAGGAAACAGCUUGCUGUUUCGCUGACGAGUGGCGGACGGGUGAGUAAUGUCUGGGAAACUGCCUGAUGGAGGGGGAUAACUACUGGAAACGGUAGCUAAUACCGCAUAAUGUCGCAAGACUAAAGAGGGGGACCUUCGGGCCUCUUGCCAUCGGAUGUGCCCAGAUGGGAUUAGCUAGUAGGUGGGGUAACGGCUCACCUAGGCGACGAUCCCUAGCUGGUCUGAGAGGAUGACCAGCCACACUGGAACUGAGACACGGUCCAGACUCCUACGGGAGGCAGCAGUGGGGAAUAUUGCACAAUGGGCGCAAGCCUGAUGCAGCCAUGCCGCGUGUAUGAAGAAGGCCUUCGGGUUGUAAAGUACUUUCAGCGGGGAGGAAGGGAGUAAAGUUAAUACCUUUACUCAUUGACGUUACCCGCAGAAGAAGCACCGGCUAACUCCGUGCCAGCAGCCGCGGUAAUACGGAGGGUGCAAGCGUUAAUCGGAAUUACUGGGCGUAAAGCGCACGCAGGCGGUUUGUUAAGUCAGAUGUGAAAUCCCCGGGCUCAACCUGGGAACUGCAUCUGAUACUGGCAAGCUUGAGUCUCGUAGAGGGGGGUAGAAUUCCAGGUGUAGCGGUGAAAUGCGUAGAGAUCUGGAGGAAUACCGGUGGCGAAGGCGGCCCCCUGGACGAAGACUGACGCUCAGGUGCGAAAGCGUGGGGAGCAAACAGGAU